rfam:Trachymyrmex cornetzi contig36024, whole genome shotgun sequence.
CAAUCGGCCCUUUUCAGGGCCACCAAACAUUCUGUAAUUACUGGUGU